CAAAGGUUUGGUCCUGGCCUUAUAAUUAAUUAGAGGUAAAAUUACACAUGCAAACCUCCAUAAACCGGUGUAAAAUCCCUUAAACAUUUAACUAAACUUUAAGGAGAGGGUAUCAAGCACAUUAAUAUAGCUUAAGACACCUUGCCUAGCCACACCCCCACGGGAUCCAGCAGUGAUAAAUAUUAAGCAAUAAACGAAAGUUUGACUAAGUUAUACCUCUUAGGGUUGGUAAAUUUCGUGCCAGCCACCGCGGUCAUACGAUUAACCCGAACUAAUUAUUUCCGGCGUAAAAUGUGUUAACUAUAAAUAAAAAAUAGAAUUAAAAUCCAACUUAUAUGUGAAAAUUCAUUGUUAGGACCUAAACUCAAUAACGAAAGUAAUUCUAAUCAUUUAUAAUACACGACA
rnacentral:rRNA from 1 species